CAGGCCUAACACAUGCAAGUCGAGCGGAUGACAGGAGCUUGCUCCUGGAUUCAGCGGCGGACGGGUGAGUAAUGCCUAGGAAUCUGCCUGGUAGUGGGGGACAACGUUUCGAAAGGAACGCUAAUACCGCAUACGUCCUACGGGAGAAAGCAGGGGACCUUCGGGCCUUGCGCUAUCAGAUGAGCCUAGGUCGGAUUAGCUUGUUGGUGAGGUAAUGGCUCACCAAGGCGACGAUCCGUAACUGGGAUGAGAGGAUGAUCAGUCACACUGGAACUGAGACACGGUCCAGACUCCUACGGGAGGCAGCAGUGGGGAAUAUUGGACAAUGGGCGAAAGCCUGAUCCAGCCAUGCCGCGUGUGUGAAGAAGGGCUUCGGAUUGUAAAGCACUUUAAGUUGGGAGGAAGGGUUGUAGAUUAAGACGAUGCAAUUUUGACGUUACCGACAGAAGAAGCACCGGCGAACGAUGUGCCAGCAGCCGCG
rnacentral:rRNA from 1 species